AACUAGUUCGAAAACUAUAAAAGAGACACCACCUGCGCAUUGUAGAACUCACACCACCAUCAUAUUACCAAAGACCGCUUAUCAUAUACGCUACGGCGCAUCUUAGAGUACGCCACCGGAUUGCUGAUCUUAACUGCCUCGGUGACGAUGUCCGAUGAAAAUCCUGAACACCCUGCUCAACUCUUCCGCUGAUCUGUCUGCAUUUUUCCAGAAAGAACUUUUUGGCUUUUUGAAGUUACAUACAUUGGUAUUCUCAAUUUUCCCGCCGAUCAACUCGUUGAAGUUACAUGGAUAUUCUUGGAACUCGUUGAAACCAGAUUAUCUUGGAAUUUGAGAUCUUAAUAUUGUCAUAUUAGCUUGGAAUUCUUGCAUGCAUUCUUUUUAAGAAAAAAAUUAAGAACUUGUAGUUGUUCUUAAAUGCAUAUUUUAAGGAAAUCAAAAAAAUUGUAGUUUACAAGAAUAUAUUGGCGUUGCACAUAUCAAGAAAUCUUUUAAAGAAAAUUAUGUUGUAAUCCUCGCAGUGUGUUAAGGAUGUUCAAGAAUUUGAUUCUACUUUUUUAGGGAGAUGGGGUCAAUUCGGCGAGGGUAUCACAAGGGUUGUUGAGGAGUUGAUUUUCAACAGCCCAGAUACAUGCUGGUGACACCAAGGUGUACUAAUUUACCCUUUCAAUGUUUCAAUGCUCUUUAUGAUUUUACUAGAUAAUGAAUCGAAAGUUGUGGAGUUGUUCUUGAAGCCCCACUCGAACAAUUAAAUUUUUUUUGAUAGUUCAAUUAUAAAAAGUUGUGAUUUGUUGGAUUUUGAAUGAAGACACUCAAUGCGACAGACUUUCGUAAAUGCCCUCGGUGGCCAUUUUCCUUUGUAUGGUCUAGACUUUUUUAUUUUUUAACAUGGUCUAGACUUUUUGAUUUUGAUUGUUUCUUAAAAAUUGAAAAUUGUGCCAUGUAAGAUAAUGGGGAAUUAUAUGUUUUCUGAUUUUGUUAAUGUUUUGAGGAUCGAUAGAGGUGGGCUGCUGAGAAUAUGGCAAGUCGUGCUUAUAUGGAGAUUUAAUCGCUUAGACUAGUCGCACAAAAGGCAGUGAGCGGUGAGGCUCUGAAUUCUCUGAUGACGAGGUAUCUGUUGCUAUAGGCAUUGAGACCUGCAAACCUGCAAUGUGAAGGUAGAUGACAAUGAAUCUGGUGUUUCACGAGAUGGACUGGUGUUGAUGGGAGAAAAAUAUGGUACAUUAGCCUUUAAUGCAACAACGGAUGCUACAUCUGGUCAAACACAAAACAUAUCUCCGGGCUUAUCCACUUUACAAACAUUUGGAAAGAAAUAUGACGUUAACAGUGUGGCCAAUGAACCUCUGUUGUGGUCCAGGGAUGCCAAUGUCUCAGACUCCUCCGUAUUUGGAUCUCUAAAACCUACUUCAUAAGGUUUUCCAAGCAACUCAACACUCCCUCCCCCUCAAGAUUUGAUUCCUAUUCCUUUGGCCAACCAGCAGUAUCCAUGUCAGGGAGCAAAGGUAAAGAAAUUACAACACAUUUGCUCAAGAGCUCUGGUUUUUGAAAGUCCGCAUUUGGUAUUAAUCAGAAAGGAAGUAGGAACUAGUACAGCAUCAUCCAUUGCAACUCCAGAGAUAGAUAGCACAAGACCCGGUGGUGCAAACAUUCAAUCCAUUUGUGGAAUGCAGACUUUUAACGAUAAAAGCCAGGAGGAGUUUAGGUUUUGAGGACUACCAGUUAGGGACAUUAGCUUUUAAUGCAGCAACGAAUGCUACAUCUGGUCAAGCACAAAACAUAUAUCCGGGCUCAUCCACUUUACAAACAUUUGGAAAGAAAUAUGACGUUAACAGAAGUGGCGAAUGAACCUCUGUUGUGGUCCAGGGAUGCCAAUGUCUCAGACUCCUCCAUAUUUGGAUCUCUAAAACCUACCUCAUUUGGUGUUUCAAGCAACUCACACUUUGGCACCCCAUGAUUUGAUUCCUACUCCUUUAGCCAACCAUCAGUAUCCAUGUCAGGGAGCAAAGGCUUACUUUAUUGUCCAUUUUCUCAUGUAUUGGAGCAGACUAAUCAACAUUUUGAGGGAGAAUUUUUUUCUGUAAACUAUAUGCUCUAUAUUGAUGUGAAAAUCCUUGUUGACCUUUUAUUAAAUACUACUAAGUACUAUUUAUUCCUACUUCAUUUUUUGGAUAUUUAUGUGUUCAAUCUUGAUCAAAUUUGCAAAUCAGGAAAAUAAAGUACACCACCUUUUCUCAAGAGCUCUGAUUUUGGAAACUCAACAUUUGGCAUUAGUCCGAAAGGAGGUAGAAUAGUAUCAUAUAUUGCAACUUCAGAGAACCAUAUCACAGGACUUGGUGGUGGAAAAAAUCAAUCCAUUUGUGGAAUGCAGACUUAUAAAGAUAAAAGCCAGGAGGAGUUGAGGUUUGAGGACUACCAGUUAGGUGAGGAACGGCAUAUAUAGAUGCUACACUUAAUACUGCCAAUUUCAUGAAAGGAGAGAUGUCAUAUUUACUCUUCUAGAGCAGCGAAGCGGCUUUGGAAUUGGUCGAAAAGCUAAAUCUUUUCCUUGUGAAGUAGUUAUGCACAUUGAGCUGUACUCUUCUCCAAAAAUGUUUGUAAUAACUGCAAUACCUCAGUGCGAUUUCUUAUGGAACAUUAGCCUUUAAUGCCGCAACGAAUGCUACAUAUGGUCAAACACAAAAGAUAUCUCCGGGCUCAUCCACUUUACAAACAUUUGGAAAGAAAUAUGACAUUAACAGCGUGGCCAAUGAACCUCUGUUGUGGUCCAGACAUGCCAAUGUCUCAGACUCCUCCUCAUUUGGAUCUCUAAAAGCUACUUCGUUUGGUGUUUCAAGCAACUCACACUGUGGCACCCCAAGAUUUAAUUCCUAUUCCUUUGGCAACCAGCAGUAUCCAUGUCAGGGAGCAAAGGAAAAGAAAGUACAACACCUUUGCACAAGAGCUCUGGUUUUGUAAAAUAGUGUCAUACAUUGCAACUCCAGAUAUAGAUAGCACAAUACCUGAUGAUGCAAAAAUUCAAUCCAUUUGUGGAGUGCAGACUUAUAAAGAUAAAGGGCAGGAAGAGUUGAGGUUUGAGGACUACCAGAUAGGUGAUAAAGAAAGAAAAAGAGAAGAGAAACUCUAGACUAGUGAGAGGGAGCCACGGAUUUAGAGCCAAAAAGCACCAAGAGGAUAACAAGUAGCCACAAAAUUUCAGCCGCACUAAAAGAGCUUCAGAGGUGAGUUUUGGCGAGUUUUGGUGAGUUUAGGGAAAGGUAAGACUUUCCUUUUAAAUUUUCAGUUUAUGAUGUUUUUAUUAGGUAUAUUACAUGUCUUAAAUGAGACUGGAAGUGGAAAAAUUGUAUAAGGAUGCUUGACGUUAGAAACAAACUAAAUUGAAGUCGUUAGAGUUAAAUCGAAGUCGAGUAGUGUGUUGUGAUUGUGGUGCUGCGGUUGCAGCUGGUUUGAUUGCAUAUUUCAGGGCUGGAAAGUGUUCUAAUAAGGGUGUGGGUGCUUCUGGUUGCAUCCACACGACCCUUCUUUUCGUAUGGUUAAAGGUUUUACGAAACAAAGGUUAAAAACUCUAUUUUGGUAUCGUAGUUUUGAGCGAAUUGGUUGGAGUUUGUAUUGUGUACUGUUGAAGUGAUUUUACUUGUAUAUGUGCUGCUGGUUUUCGUUGGUUGGCUGUUGUAAUUAAUGAUGUAUUUGGAAGUUUGGAUAGGGCAAGUUAUAGGGGAGAUGCUGCCCAAUUUCCGGUAACUUCGGAACUAGUAAUAAACUAGUCGAGGGAAAUGGAUAAGGAAAUGAUUCCUAUGGAUAUUUGGUUGUGGAGUUGGAAAUUGGAAAGUGAAAGGUUAUUAACCUUAGUAUUGCCUUCAUGUUAAAUAUUUUCAAAGGACGACGAGGCGAACGUGGUUAAGAGUAAUCCAUAAAAGGUUUCUAACAGCCCUUCUCCGGUCAGACAGAGAUCUUCGUUGAUAAUUCCACAUUCAUCUAUAAGUCAGCAUAGGUUGCCACCUCAAAGGGAUGCAUGACAGAGACAAAGCUAGUGAUAACCCCAAGUUAGAGCCUGGAGAGAUGCAUCAUGUCAAUUGUGGCGAUUAUAAGGAUGUGGAUGGCAUAAUGCCGAAGCUCCAACGUACUGAUUACUACACAGUUCCUCUUAUGGAGGAGUUGAUAUCAAAGGAGAAGGAAGAAACUGGUUUUUGUUGCCACGUGAAACACUUUGUGGUAGGAAGCCAUGGGUAUUUUGAUGAAUGAUUUACUAAACUUUUCAAAUUGAAUUACACCGACAAUCACGAGCUCAAUAAUCUUUCAUAUCACUUUAAAAGUAAAACCUACCUUCACAUUUGAAGGACCGUCUUAAGAACCCACAAUGUUCUUCUUUUUAAUUACCACAAUGAUGUCCAUUAUUAUUUUCUCUUUUGUCAUGCUUAUGUUCAUUGGUACAAUCACAAUAAUUAUUGUCAUUUUUCGAACAUAUUAUGUAUUGCUACUACAUGCACAUAUGAGAAUCGAAUCAGC